UACGUAGGGUGCGAGCGUUGUCCGGAAUUAUUGGGCGUAAAGAGCUCGUAGGCGGUUUGUCGCGUCUGCUGUGAAAACCUAAGGCUCAACCUUGGGCUUGCAGUGGGUACGGGCAGACUAGAGUGCGGUAGGGGUGACUGGAAUUCCUGGUGUAGCGGUGGAAUGCGCAGAUAUCAGGAGGAACACCUGUGGUGUAGACAGCUUACUGGACCAUUUCUGACGC
rnacentral:rRNA from 1 species